AAUGAACGUUGGCGGCGUGGAUUAGGCAUGCAAGUCGAGCGCGAUAUGUAGCAAUACAUGGAGAGCGGCGAAAGGGAGAGUAAUACGUAGGUAUCUACCCUCGGGUCUGGGAUAGCAGCGGGAAACUGCUGGUAACACCAGAUAUCGUCUCCGGACCAAAGGUGUGAUUCCACCUGAGGCGGAAGCUACGGCCUAUUAGCUAGUUGGUAGGGUAACGGCCUACCAAGGCAAAGAUGGGUAUGGGGUGUGAGAGCAUGCCCCCACUCACUGGGACUGAGACACUGCCCAGACACCUACGGGUGGCUGCAGUCGAGAAUCUUCGGCAAUGGGCGAAAGCCUGACCGAGCGACGCCGCGUGCGGGAUGAAGGCCUUCGGGUUGUAAACCGCUGUCGUAGUGGAGGAAAUGUAGGAGAGUUAUCUCUUUUACUUGACUAAUACUAGGAGGAAGGACCGGCUAAUCUCGUGCCAGCCGCCGCCGUAAAAC
rnacentral:rRNA from 1 species